GCGAGGAGGAGAGAGAGAGAGAGAGAGAGAGAGAGAGAGAGAGAGAGAGAUUCAAAAGCCCCUGCUUUUAAAUUUUAGAUGUGAAUUUAAUGUUGAACUGCAUCCUGUGCUACUGAUGAGCAGCUGGUGAAAAUGUUCUCUCUCUCUCUCUCUCUCUCUCUCUCUCUCAGCUCAAAGCAUAGGCAGGGAU
rnacentral:miRNA from 1 species